UGAAACACGGACCAAGGAGUCUAACAUAUGCGCGAGCUAAUAGGUGUAAAACCUAUAGGCGCAAUAAAAGUAAACGCUGUUUCGGACAGCUGAGGUACGAUCCUAGAUUCGCUCUAGGCGCAGUACCGUCUCAUCCCUAAGGCACGUCCUAAGGGUGAAGAUAGAGUGCAUACGUUGGGACCCGAAAGAUGGUGAACUAUGCCUGAGCAGAGCGAAGCCAGAGGAAACUCUGGUGGAGGUUCGUAGCGGUUCUGACGUGCAAAUCGAUCGUCAGACUUGGGUAUAGGGGCGAAAGACUAAUCGAACCAUCUAGUAGCUGGUUCCCCCUGAAGUUUCCCUCAGGAUAGCUGAUACUCGUUAUACGAAGUUUUAUCCGGUAAAGCGAAUGAUUAGAGGCCUUGGGGACGAAAUGACCUCAACCUAUUCUCAAACUUUAAAUGGGUAAGAAGUCGAGCUUGCUCGACCGAAGCUCGACAAGUCGAGAAUUCGAGUAUCAAGUGGGCCAUUUUUGGUAAGCA
rnacentral:rRNA from 1 species